GAGUUUCAUUUCCUUGAAAUUGCCAUUUCACCUAGGUUAUCAAAUUUGUGGGCGUAGAGCUAUACAUAGGUAUUCCUUUAUUAUCCUUGUAACAUCCAUGGUAAUGUCCAUCCAUAGUGAUGUUCCCUCUUUCAUUUCUGACUUUAGUCAUUUGUGUCCUCCCUUUUUCUUAGUUAGCCUGGUUACAGACUUAAUGUCUUUUUCAAAGAACCAGCUCUGGUUUUAUUGAUAUUUUCUGUUGGUUUCCUGUUUCAGUUUCACUGAUUCCUGCUCUGAUGUUUGUCUUUUUUUGCUUGCUUAACUUUUUCUUUUUUUACUAUUUUCCUCUGGAGAAGCUUAUUGAUUUCAGAUGUCUUUUCUAAUAUAUGCAUUCAAUGCUGUAAGUUUCCCUGUAAGCACUGAUUUUGCUGCAUCACACAAAUUUUGAUGUUUUUAUUUUCAUUUAGUUCAAAAUACUUAAAAUUUCUCUUGAGAUUUCAUUUUUGACCUAUAUGUUAUUUCAAAUUGUGUGGUUUAAUCCCCAUGUAUUUUGUGAUUUUCUAGUUACCAUUCCGUUAUUGAUUUCUAAUCUAAUUCCAUUGUAGUCUGACAGACAUUGUAUGCUUUCUAUUCACUUAAACUUGUUAAAGUGUGUUUUAUGGCCUAGGAUGUGAUAUAUCUUGGUGAUUGUUCUAUGUGAACUUUGGAAGAAAAGUAUUCUUCUGUUGUUGUAUGAAGUAAUGUACAGCUGUUAUGGUCUGAAUGUUUGUGUUGUCCUGAAUUCAUAUGUUGAAAUCCUAACCUCCAAAGGUGAUGAAAUCUUGAUACCAAUACCCUGAUACCCAAAGGUAUUAGUAGGUGGGGCCUCUGGGAGAUGAAUAGGUUGUGAGAGUGGAGCCCUCAUGAAUGGAAGUCAUAUUCUCAUAAAGGAGAUCCCAUAGAACUCCCCAUACCUUCUGCUAUAUGAAGACAUACUGAGGAGUCUGCUAUGAGCUAGGGAGUGGGUUCUCAUAAAAAUGUGACCAUGCUGUUACCUUGAUCUUAGACUUCCUAGCCUCCAGGCAUGUGAGGAAUACAUUUCUGUCAUUUUUAAGGUGAAUUCUACCAACCAUUUAAAGAAGAGUUAAUACCUAUUAUUCUCAAACUAUUCCAAAAUAUAGAAGAGAAAGGAAAACUCCCAAAUUCAUUCUGUGGUUCCUGAUAGAAAAAUCUGACAAAGAUACUACAAGAAAAGAGAACUACAGAUGGAGUAACAGAGACCAGAUUUUUUCUCCUAACUGUAACAUCCAUAAAAAACAGAUGAAACGUUUGAAAUAAUGGAUUUCAGGACAUUAGACAUCAGGUUCCUGUUGCAUGUAAAUCUUGUCCCUGUGGUUAUAUAUUUAUUAAUAGGAAACUUCUAAAAGUAAAACACUCAGAGAAAUCAUCACCUUUUACAGAUGAUAUCAAGAAAGUAGAAAGACAACUCACAGGAUGGAAAAAACUA